rnacentral:misc_RNA from 1 species
GUUGGUGAACCAGCGGAGGGAUCAUUAAAGAGUUGCAAAACUCCCAAACCAUUGUGAACAUACCUUCAACGUUGCUUCGGCGGGUUGGCCCCGGUCUCCGGGGUCCCCGGCCCUACUCGGGCGCCCGCCGAAGACACCAUUGAACUCUGUCUGAAGAUUGCAGUCUGAGCGAUUAACUAAAUCAGUUAAAACUUUCAACAACGGAUCUCUUGGUUCCG